CAGGCGGCUGCUCAGCUGCCGCUGCUAUAAUUAGGAGCCCGGCCCCCAGGCACGUGGAGGCACUGGGCCUGCCCUGCGCGCUGAACCAAAUAAAGGCAGAGCCCGGCUCCCGGCGAGGCCCGCGCCCCGUGCGCCCCUGUGGCCCAGAAAAGAUCAAACAGGCGGGCUGCACGGCCAGGCCCCCCAACCCGCCGUCGGAGAAGUUGGAGAGGCACAGGAAGAGCUGCCCCAAAUGUUACUCCCUUUUUGGAAAUUGUGCUGCUGCUUUUUUUUUUUUCUUUUUUUAAGUCUGUGGCUAUAAUAAGGCAAGUGUUCCCGGCUGGCGGGGUAAACAGUCGUGAUGAGGUGCGUCCGACUUAGGAGCGAGUGCCUGGUGCAGGCUCAUCAACAUGUGCUCCUUACGCAGACUCAGGAUAUGCCCACGGGGGAGUCAGUCGCCCACUUAUUUUAAAAAAAAAUGUUUUUUAUUGAUUUCAGAGGGCAUGAGAGAGAGAGAGAGAGAGAAACAUAAAUGGUGAGAGAAUCAUGGGUCAGCUGCCUCCUGCACGCCCCACCCUGGGGAUCCAGCCCGCACCCCGGGCCUGUGCCCUGGCCGGGAAUCAAACCGGGACCUCAUGGUUCACAGGUCGAAGCCCAACCACUGAGCCACCCAGGCCGGACCCAUUUUUAGAAUCUCCAAGUGGAAGUCAUACAAAACAGUCUGCUCCUUAUAUUAUUUUAUUGGGGAACGUGGAAGUCUUUUCAGGGUGCCGUUGGAUUCCUGGGACCUUCUUGUCCUGUGGCUGUUGGUCUGUCUGACUCAGCAGUCACCUCCGAGAUCUCCGCGAGGGAACUGUGCCCAGAGAUGUGAACUCGAGUGCGUGUGAGAAGGCUCAGAACGGCCCACUUCUGUCCCAGGUCCACAGACGCCCAGGGACAAAGUUCUCUGCAGAUGGGCCUUCAGAGAUGGUGAACACCACAAAUCUGUAGCAACCGAAGGAAACGCAUUCAAGGUCCCGUUGACAAACGUUACCCGAGCGGAGAAUCAUCGGUGACUCCACUGAGCCUGGGACCGCUCAUCGGUCAACUGUGUUCAUUGCUGUGGCAUGUUUCGUGCCCCGUGGCUGAUAAACAAGGCAACCCAGUCAGGAAACCAAAGCAAAUUCCUGACGUCUGAGUCACCGUCGGAAGCCUGCCGGCCUUUGCCGUCGAACAUGCUCCUGCACCUCGCACAGAGCAAGGAACUGCAGGGGCUCAGAGCAAACCAGGUUCACCCGCGUCCACUGUGGACAACAUCCGAUCCCUUUUUUUCACUCCGAUUUCAGGGUGAUUUUCGUUUGUCAGAUUAAGUGGCUCAAAGCCCAAGUCCUAAGAUGCCGGAGGGAAGACUGGGAGAAGCUGGGGGGCGUGGGCCCGGGGAGCGCAGCCGGAUUCCAGAUCAGAGGGCCUCGGAUGAAGGCAUCAGCUUCCUUCCGACUCUUCUCCUCCCCUCCUGGGCCCCGGAUCCACUGGACGCCGGCCCAGCUGGGCUGAGACCUGGAGGCGGCCGUUCCGGGAGCAAGUGUGUCUUGAGGUCACAUGCAAAGCCCAGAUUUCCAUGUCUGGUGAGGCAACCGGAAUGUGUUUACCAACGUGCAUGCGAUUUUCAAGGUCAAUGCUGGGUUUCCGGCAGAAGAGAAAUAAUUGGUAUUCAGCACAGGGAGAAGCCAGCAGAGCUCUGGGCCUGGUGUCGCAGUGUCUGUGAGCAAACAGUCUCAGGGCUGCCUCUCCCGGGUGACCCCUCAGUGUACCCCCAUCCUCUCACCAGCAAAUGAGGGACUUACCCCGGACUUGAGUUUGGGACCAGAUGACAUCUCCUCCCACCUUUUCUUUUUCUUCUGCCUUGUUAAUCCUCACCUGAGGAUAUUUUUUCUUUUUUCUUUUCCUUUUUAAGACAUAUUUCUAUUGAUUUCAGAGAGGAAGGGAGAGGGAGAGAGAGAGAGAGAAACAUCAAUGAUGAGAGAGAGUCAUGGAUCGGCUGCCUCCUGCAAGCCCCACACUGGGGAUCGAGCCCGCAACCCGAAUUGAACCGUGACCUCCUGGUUCCUAAGUCGACGCUCCACCACUGAGCCCCGCCGGCCGGCUGGCCAGGGCCGAUAGGUUCUGGAUGACAUGAACAUGGGUCCCUCUGGCCUACCUGCAGGUCGCUAAUUACUCGACCCUCUCCUGCCUCCGGCUGCGCACUUCUGUGGUCAGGGCUCUUGGGCACAGGCUGUGGCUUUUUGAAAGUGCAGACGCCCCUGCAGAAGAGAGAGAGCUUUGGCAGGAAGGCGAGGGGCGCCCUGUUCUGACCCGCACGACGCCGUCUGCGCUCUGGUGCCCGCUCUCCGCUCGCAAGCUGAGCAGGGUCUGGACCAGACGUGCUUUGCGGUGCCAUUGCAGGCCUGACCUCGACCAGACCACAUCGCAUCAUCCUCCCCACGGUCUCCUCAGGGAAGAUGCGCGAAGGUUUCAGAAAAAGCUCUGUUGAAGGUCAGCAGUCUGCGGUGUGCGAGCCAGGAGUGGGAGUGGACGGGACGCAGCUCCCGGACGGCCCCGAGGUGUGGUGCCGGGGGAUGCGGCUGCCGCACGCACGUGGCGCAGGGCAGAGGGUCGCCAGGUGCAUCGCACGCUUCGCGUGGAUCGACCCCCUCCCGCCUGCUCCCUGCAGUCACUGUCCUAACCCAAAGCCAGGAGGUCUGCAUGCAUUUGUUUCACUUGGUCCAGGAUGGAAAACCUGGAUCCUUUGGCACAAAAGGAAAAAUCUUGGAGACCAUCAGGAAAUAAAAAUAAACUCUGAUAGACCAAACGAGGACACAAACGAGGCAAAAACGGGAAGCAAAUAGGACCUCUGAAGAGAUAGGCAAGCCGUCAUUCCCACAAAAUAGGAUUAAACCGAAAAUAUUACCGAUCAGGUUUCGUUGUCGGUUUGCAAACAGGUUCCUCCCACAGUGCGGCUCCCUGAAGGAUCAUAGAUUAAAUAAAUAAGUCAAGACGCAUGGCGGAACGUGCCGCUAGCCAUUCGUCCCUCCUCGGACCCGCGUCUCCCCUCCUCGGCGACAAACCCAGCGACGUGACUGUUGCCGAGAGAGCCCGGUAUCAAACAGUCAUGUAUCCUUAUCACCGUAGAGUCGUUACAUCGGAAGUACCAAGUCUUGUUGAUGUGAACUUCCCAUAGUCAUCCAAUGUUGACGAAAAGACCUCCCACAUCAUGACGAAAAGCACACGGCUUCAGGGAUAGAGACGAAAGAGACGAUAUGUCGCUGUGAAGGUUUAAUCUGCAAGAUAAUAGAAAGAGCCGGCUGUUAAUAAGACUUAAUUGUGGCAUUAAAUAUUUAAUGUUACCUCCGCGGCUAAACUUUCGUGUGCGUUUUGCAUAUUUCAAGUGUAAAGGGCUCCCUGAUAAGACGUGCGGUUCCAGCAGCGUCCAAUGCUGGCGCACUUCCCUGUGACACCGCCUCCAUCAGCGUGGCCGCACGUCACUUUAUUCAUCAUGAAGGGAAGCGCACAGCCCUCCGUACUGUUUACUACAAGUGAUGCUUUUUUCUAAAGGGGAGUUGACUUAGCCCUGGCCAGUUUGGCUCAGUGGAUAGAGCGUCGGCCUGCGGACUGAAGGGUCCCUGGUCCGACUCCCGGUCAAGGGCACAUGCCUGGGUUGCAGGCUCGAUCCCCAGGGGGGGACGUGCAGGAGGCAGUCGAUGGAUGAUUCUCUCUCAUCAUUGAUGCUUCUCUCUCUCUCUCUCUCUCUCUCUCUCUCUCUCCCUCCCUCUCAUUUCCUCUCUGAAACCAAUAAAAAAAAUAUUUUUUGAAAAAAAUAGCUCCGAUGAGACCUCAGGAGGUGAAUCAGCCGGAAGACAAAGAUGUCUGUCUGAAAGGCCGGCUCCUCCUCUGACAACAUCUGGAAACAAUAGGAAAGGCAGCGGGGAAACCAGAGUCCAGAGGAGCAAUGCGGUGUUUCGGUCCCCGGGCAGGAGAGAGGGCCGGAGCCUGUCUUUCCUCCGUCUAGGAGCGCAGUCCUCUGGAAUCCAGGGCUUGGGCCGUGAGAAUGCGGGUCGGGCCUCCUCCCUCCCGGCCGCAGGCUGGUGCAGGCUCCCGGCUGGAGGCCCCGGCAACGGUUCCGUCACCAGAAACACCCUCUCCUCCGUGUUCCCCCGACCCACCCACCCACUCCCGCCCGGCGGGGCCCGGCGAGCCAUGGCCCUGGGGCAGCAGCCUGUCCUCCCCAAACAGGCCCAGCCUCACAAGGCCCUUUUUAUUUAUUUUUAAACAUAUUUUUAUUGAUUUCAGAGAAGAAGGGAGAGGGAGAGAGAAACAUCCAUGAUGAGAGAGAAUCACGGACCGGCUGCCUCUUGCACACCCGACACUGGGGAUGGAGCCUGCAACCCGGGCACGUGCCCUGACCGGGAAUCGAACCGAGACUUCCUGGUUCCUAGGUCGACGCUCAACCCCUGAGCCACGCGGUCCGGGUUCCUGAUGUUCUGCUUCUGCCUUAAACAGCAGCGCGGCUGCUUCCUGGAGCAAAGUGCUUUGUCCUUCCUCUUGGAGGAGAACAGGUGGUGAUGAAAUAAGCAAGGGCCUGAUCCCCAAGGUCGCUCCCCAAGGCCGCCACGGCCAUGCCCCGCGGAGCACGCAGUCUCCCGUGGGGUCACAGCGUCCGGGCGCCCCUGCCCCUCCCAGGGUGGUGGCAGCGGGCGUCCUCUGGGCUCCGUAACGUCCUCUCUCCCGUGGGAAGUGAGACGCGCCAUGGCUUCCCCCUUGGAUGCUUCAAACGUGUUCCGUGCCUUUUUCUCUUUCCUCCUUCUACCCGGCCCUCUCCUUCCCCCGGUGCUGCCCGGGCACCCGUUGCCAUGGUAACCGCCGCUCCUGCCUCCCUGACUGUGAAGAGACAUG